AUUGAACGCUGGCGGCAUGCCUUACACAUGCAAGUCGAACGGUAACAGGUCUUCGGAUGCUGACGAGUGGCGAACGGGUGAGUAAUACAUCGGAACGUGCCUAGUAGUGGGGGAUAACUACUCGAAAGAGUGGCUAAUACCGCAUGAGAUCUACGGAUGAAAGCAGGGGAUCGCAAGACCUUGUGCUACUAGAGCGGCCGAUGGCAGAUUAGGUAGUUGGUGGGAUAAAAGCUUACCAAGCCGACGAUCUGUAGCUGGUCUGAGAGGACGAUCAGCCACAAUGGGACGGAGACACGGCCCAGACUCCUACGGGAGGCAGCAGUGGGGAAUUUUGGACAAUGGGCGAAAGCCUGAUCCAGCAAUGCCGCGUGCAGGAUGAAGGCCUUCGGGUUGUAAACUGCUUUUGUACGGAACGAAAAGCCCCGGGUUAAUGCCCUGGGGUCAUGACGGUACCGUAAGAAUAAGCACCGGCUAACUACGUGCCAGCCGCCGCAGUAA
rnacentral:rRNA from 1 species